AUUGAACGCUGGCGGCAUGCUUUACACAUGCAAGUCGAACGGUAACAGGCCGCAAGGUGCUGACGAGUGGCGAACGGGUGAGUAAUGUAUCGGAACGUGCCCAGUCGUGGGGGAUAACGCAGCGAAAGCUGUGCUAAUACCGCAUACGAUCUAUGGAUGAAAGCGGGGGACCGUAAGGCCUCGCGCGCUUGGAGCGGCCGAUAUCAGAUUAGGUAGUUGGUGGGGUAAAGGCUCACCAAGCCGACGAUCUGUAGCUGGUCUGAGAGGACGACCAGCCACACUGGGACUGAGACACGGCCCAGACUCCUACGGGAGGCAGCAGUGGGGAAUUUUGGACAAUGGGCGCAAGCCUGAUUCAGCAAUGCCGCGUGCAGGACGAAGGCCUUCGGGUUGUAAAGUGCUUUUGUACGGAGCGAAAGGGCCCUCUCUAAUAAAGAGGGCUAAUGACGGUACCGUAAGAAUAAGCACCGGCUAACUUCGUGCCAGCCGCCGCCGUAAAAC
rnacentral:rRNA from 1 species